CUCGGCAAAUUAUCCUCAUAAGUUAGACGAUAUGAAGAACCACUGGAUGCUAUUAAUCCUUAUUUUAAGGUAAUGUUACCUGUCUUUAUUGAUUGGUAAUGGUUUUGCGUUUUCAUAGGCUGCGAAGCUUGUGUUAUUCAGAACCUUAAUAGUAUUUAAGUGGUGGCACAGAAUCGGAGGCCCCGACUGUUUACUUAAAACACAGCUUUCUGCGACGAAUAAUAUCUUUGUAUAGAAAGCGAAUUUUGCCCAAUGCCAUUAAUAUAAGGUCGAUAAGCGCUUUGCGUAAUUAUUGGCUGAAGUUCUGGUCAAUGGCGGUCUUAUCUAUGAGGAUCCUAAGGUAGCAAAAUUAAUUGUCCAUUAAAUGUGGUCCUGACUGAAUAAAGUAACGAUGGUCUCGCUGUCUCUACAAGUAUCUCAGUGAAAUUGAAUUAGCCGUGCAGAUGCGGUUUAACUUCGGGUAGACGGGAAGACCCUAUGCAGCUUCUACUGA
rnacentral:rRNA from 1 species